GGCAUGGCCAAGCGGUAAGGCAGGGGACUGCAAAUCCUUUAUCCCCAGUUCAAAUCUGGGUGCC
rnacentral:tRNA from 1 species